ACGGGAGGCAGCAGUGGGGGAUAUUGCACAAUGGAGGAAACUCUGAUGCAGCGAUGCCGCGUGAGGGAAGACGGUCUUCGGAUUGUAAACCUUUGUCUUAAGGGACGAAAAAAUGACGGUACCUUAGGAGGAAGCACCGGCUAACUACGUGCCAGCAGCCGCGGUAAUACGUAGGGUGCGAGCGUUGUCCGGAAUUACUGGGUGUAAAGGGAGCGUAGGCGGGAUAGCAAGUUGGAUGUGAAAUGUAUCGGCUUAACCGGUACCCGCAUUCAAAACUGCCAUUCUUGAGUGAAGUAGAGGCAGGCGGAAUUCCUAGUGUAGCGGUGAAAUGCGUAGAUAUUAGGAGGAACACCAGUGGCGAAGGCGGCCUGCUGGGCUUUUACUGACGCUGAGGCUCGAAAGCGUGGGGAGCAAACAGGAUUAGAUACCCUGGUA
rnacentral:rRNA from 2 species